GACGAACGCUGGCGGCGUGCUUAACACAUGCAAGUCGAACGGAAAGGCCCUGCUUGCAGGGUACUCGAGUGGCGAACGGGUGAGUAACACGUGGGUGAUCUGCCCUGCACUUCGGGAUAAGCCUGGGAAACUGGGUCUAAUACCGGAUAGGAGCCAUUUUUAGUGUGAUGGUUGGAAAGUUUUUUCGGUGUAGGAUGAGCUCGCGGCCUAUCAGCUUGUUGGUGGGGUAAUGGCCUACCAAGGCGGCGACGGGUAGCCGGACUGAGAGGGUGGACGGCCACAUUGGGACUGAGAUACGGCCCAGACUCCUACGGGAGGCAGCAGUGGGGAAGAUUGCACAAUGGGCGCAAGCCUGAUGCAGAGACGCCGCGUGGGGGAUGACGGCCUUCGGGUUGUAAACUCCUUUCGCUAGGGACGAAGCUUUUUGUGACGGUACCUAGAUAAGAAGCACCGGCUAACUACGUG
rnacentral:rRNA from 1 species